CCCGAGGAAAACUUACCUGUUGAAGUUGAACCUGAAGAGAACUUACCUUUUGCAGUUGAACCUGAGGAAAGAAUUGAAAAAAUGGAUGGAGAUAUGGAAACAGAGAGAGUAAAUGAGAUCAACACAUCCCAAAUGGAAAAGGAACUAUCAGUACAACAUCUAGAGGAGUACCUACAUGAGCAACUUGCAAUGGGAAGAGAGGAUUCGCAAUGUCAGUCUCAAAAGAAUAGCCCCCAAACAGAUAUAACCAGUGACCCAAGUUCUACUGUUGAAACAGACAAUGACAUCAAUGAGAUAACCAGUGAACCUCCUCGUAGGUCAGAACGUCCCAGAAGAGCACCUAGGAAAUUUACUUACCCUCAACUUGGCAGUCCCUUGAUUUCUUUUGCCCAGACCAUUCUAGAGGGAUUUAAUCGAGCUUUAGUUGAAACGUUUGAAAAUAAUCAUUAGAAAAAGAGAACAUGAAGGGACUCAUGUUAGUUAAGGAGGGGAGUGUGUAACCCAGUGGCAAUACAGGGUUAAAAUUACUUUAAAAUUGUAUUAAAAUAGUGUAAUAUCCCUUUAAGAAAAAAAAACAGCCAAAAUAGUGUAAUAUCCCUUAGGAAGAAAUCAGCCAAUCAGGAGUGAUAGUUCCUCCCCUAGCUGAACAUGAUUGACAGGAGACGAGGCAAAUUGCGUGAUUCAACCAUGCGCGCGAGUAUGUGAGAGAAAGAGAGAAGACGAACACGAUUGAUGGCGACGGGAAACGAGAGGAAAUUUACAGAUAUAAAGUUAACAGAGUGAUAAAAGUGAGUGUAUUAGCAAGCUAAAGAACCAACACAGAAGACAGAAUAAGGAGGAGCAACCGAGAGUUUGGAAAACUCCGUUUUCCACCUGUAUUUGUCUCGGUCAGGUCUUAUGAACAGAGUGAAAACUACUUGGAAGAUCCUUCUCUAUCGAUGGCGAGCCUCCCAGUGUGAUUGUGAAGAGACGCAGACCAACUCAUCGAACGUUUCCUAUGGUGGUAGGAAAGUAUCAGUCGCCUGAGCUGGUACCCACUUUCAUCCAAGUGCAAACUUCCUUUUAAAAGGAGGAACUGUCACAGAACUGGUGACACACACUUUUGACACCGAACUAUUGACAGGAUUGAUUAAUACAGAAAGUGAUCACAAAACAGACUUUAACGACUACAAAAGGACAAAAUCAGAGACUCAUUUAUUUUAAAGGGCACAUUUUUAUUUAUUUUUUUCAUAAACAUGUUAUGCAAUUGUGUUUCAACUGUUAUUUGCAACUUAAUGUGAGUAAAAGUUACUGGUUACUACUUA